GUUCAGUCCUCUUAUGCGGUGUUUCUUCAUUGAGUUUGGUGAUAGAUGAUAUCAAGCUUUGGCUACGUUCCUUCGCUACUUCUCGUGUUUGUCACGCCCAUAAGUUUGUCAUGGUAACUAUUGGGUUGGCCAAGUUGACUUGACUUUUGAGUCUUUUAUUUUUAAGGAUGCUACAAUUUAAUCUAGGAUGCUUUUUUAAAGUUCAUAUCUUUUCUCAACGUUCUAAUAAAACCAUUAUUGUUUGACUAAAAAAAAGAAGAGAAUGCUUUGAAUUGUAAUAUAUUCUUCUCAAUAAGAGGUAUUUAAAGGUG
rnacentral:lncRNA from 1 species